AUACGGAGGGGGCUAGCGUUGUUCGGAAUCACUGGGCGUAAAGCCCUCGUAGGCGGAUUGGUCAGUCUGAGGUGAAAUCCCAAGGCUCAACCUUGGAACUGCCUUUGAUACUGCCAGUCUUGAGGUCGAGAGAGGUAAGUGGAAUUCCUAGUGUAGAGGUGAAAUUCGUAGAUAUUAGGAAGAACACCAGUGGCGAAGGCGACUUACUGGCUCGAUUCUGACGCUGAGGAGCGAAUGCGUGGGGAGCAAACAGGAUUAGAAACCCUAGUAGUCC
rnacentral:rRNA from 1 species